UACGUAGGGUGCGAGCGUUGUCCGGAAUUACUGGGCGUAAAGAGCUCGUAGGUGGUUUGUCGCGUUUGUCCGUGAAAACUCACAACUCAAUUGUGGGCGUGCGGGCGAUACGGGCAGACUGGAGUACUGCAGGGGAGACUGGAAUUCCUGGUGUAGCGGUGGAAUGCGCAGAUAUCAGGAGGAACACCGGUGGCGAAGGCGGCUCUCUGGACCGAGACUGACGCUGAGGCGCGAAAGCGUGGGGAGCAAACAGG
rnacentral:rRNA from 1 species